rnacentral:misc_RNA from 1 species
UGAUUAACAUUCUAAAAGCAGCUGAGGAAAUUAGUCUUGCUGUGUUGGAGUCUAUCUUAUCUUUCAUUUCUCAGUCAAAGGCAAAAUCAAAGCUCUCUGGCUGGUCUAUCGUCUCAAAAUUAUUGCAAAUUUGCAAUCCAAGAAUGUGUCAUCCGAAGAGAAAUUUCAACCCAGCGAAAUCGAGAAGAUCGAUGCUGAAUUGCUUGUCUUGGAGUCAAGCAUAGACAUCAA